GGCGAACGCUGGCGGCAGGCCUAACACAUGCAAGUCGAACGAAGUCUUCGGACUUAGUGGCGGACGGGUGAGUAACACGUGGGAACGUGCCUUUAGGUUCGGAAUAACUCAGGGAAACUUGUGCUAAUACCGAAUGUGCCCUUCGGGGGAAAGAUUUAUCGCCUUUAGAGCGGCCCGCGCCUGAUUAGCUAGUUGGUGGGGUAAUGGCCCACCAAGGCUACGAUCAGUAGCUGGUCUGAGAGGAUGACCAGCCACAUUGGGACUGAGACACGGCCCAAACUCCUACGGGAGGCAGCAGUGGGGAAUUUUGCGCAAUGGGCGAAAGCCUGACGCAGCCAUGCCGCGUGGAUGAUGAAGGUCUUAGGAUUGUAAAAUCCUUUCACCGGUGAAGAUAAUGACUGUAGCCGGAGAAGAAGCCCCGGCUAACUUCGUGCCAGCCGCCGCAGUAACAC
rnacentral:rRNA from 1 species